GUGGGGAAUAUUGGACAAUGGGCGCAAGCCUGAUCCAGCCAUACCGCGUGGGUGAAGAAGGCCUUCGGGUUGUAAAGCCCUUUUGUUGGGAAAGAAAUCCUAUCGAUUAAUACUCGGUGGGGAUGACGGUACCCAAAGAAUAAGCACCGGCUAACUUCGUGCCAGCAGCCGCGGUAAUACGAAGGGUGCAAGCGUUACUCGGAAUUACUGGGCGUAAAGCGCGCGUAGGUGGUUGUUUAAGUCUGCUGUGAAAGCCCUGGGCUCAACCUGGGAAUUGCAGUGGAUACUGGGCAACUAGAGUGUGGUAGAGGGAUGCGGAAUUUCUGGUGUAGCAGUGAAAUGCGUAGAGAUCAGAAGGAACAUCCGUGGCGAAGGCGGCAUCCUGGGCCAACACUGACACUGAGGCACGAAAGCGUGGGGAGCAAACAGGAUUAGAAACCCCGGUAGUCC
rnacentral:rRNA from 1 species